UCCCGUGUGGCUCAGUUGGUAGAGCAUGGUGUUUGCAAUGCCAGGGUUGUGGGUUCGAUUCCCACGAGGGAC
rfam:Salmo salar isolate Sally breed double haploid chromosome ssa29, whole genome shotgun sequence.